AUGGACGAGUCCCAAAUAGGACGAAACGCGUGUCCUGGAU
rnacentral:hammerhead_ribozyme from 1 species